UUGGCCAGUUUGUUUCGUUAUCAGUUUCCUACCGACUGCACUAUAAGUGAAUUCAGUAUUAUCAAGACGAUGGCGGAGAUCGAGUACUCUGAAGAAAUUGACGACGUCUCCGAUGAAGAUUACGAAAUCAUUAGAAGAUAUCAAGAAGCAGAUGCGCAGUUUCAAAAACAUCCGCCAUUUUUGUCCCAGUUUACAGAGUCCACCGAUCGCGUUAGAAGUUGGCUCAACGAUAAAGGCAUAGAAUUUAACAUUGGUAAAAUAAUCGCGAUGUCCGAGGGUGAUAAUUACGAUUUCAACAGAUCCACCGGAUGCGACGAAUUCUUGGUCCAGUAUCACGCGAUUUCAAAUAAAUUGAAAAAACGAUUUUUGAGAAAACCAAAUGUCUCCGAAGCCUGCGAUCAGUUUAGUGCGUUAGCGACGCAGUGCGAACAGAAGGAACUCUGGCAGUAUGCCGGUCUUUGCUGGCUCGCGGCAGCUCGAUGUCAAGGAACAUUGGGCAAUGCUAGCACAGAGGCCAGUUUGCUGGCUAGAGCUGGCAGACAGUUUCUAACAGCGGAGAAAAAGAACGUAAUGAUCGGAUGCCCUGCUCCGGGUCAAGAGAAUGUGCAGGCAGCUGUGAGUUGUUUCGGCCAUUCUUUGGCUCGCACUCAAAAUCAGCCAGGAUCUAGUAUGGCGGCGGCUGGCUUGGCACUGGAAUUGGCUACUGCUUUGGGUUCAAGUCCUGCUGGUUCUCAGCAACUUCGUAGAGCGAUAAGCAUACAUGCGACACCGCAGUCUCUUGGAAUGCUUGCGUCAACUCAUAUUAAGCAGGGUGAUUACGUAACAGCUUUAAGCGUGCUUAGCGAAUUGGCAGAAUUAGUGGAAGCUAAUGUCGGAGGAGGAAAUACAGCCACUGGAAAUAACUGUGACAUAUUACACAGAUGCGAAGUGAGCAGAGUCCUGCUGCUCCUCAUAUUACAACCGACACCGCAAAGACUAGCUCCGUCAUUGGCUCAAUUGUUGGAAAAAUAUGCCUGGGUCGAAGAGAGCAGCAAUGCAGGUCCCGGGAUGAGUGAAGAUGAAAUGCUGUUGUUACAGUCUUUAGUACUGGCCUGCCAGUCUCAGGAUUAUCAAGCAUUGUUGGAACUGGAAGGCGAGUUAUGGCCGUAUUUAGAUACCGAGCAAAAAGAACUGCUGCGUAAGCUUGUGCAAACUUUGACAGCCCGUUAAAUCUUGCAUGUAAGUUUCUAAUAUCGUACAUCCGGUUAAGUAAAAAAAAAACUACAGAGAAAAUCACCAUCGUCAUUUCACCACGUGGACUAAUAACAGGCUACUCCUUAUCACUCAAAUUUUGUACUAUCAUUCUUUUUUACAAUACCACCAACGUUGAUUUGGCUUGUAAGUUGGGGAGAAAGGUAAGUAAGAUGUCCAUUUCCACCUAAAAACAGUGAUUGAAAUCACAAAUCGUAAGCAAAAAAAUUGUUCUGGUCAACUUUGAUUUCAUAUAUUAUUAUUUUGAAGCGGUAUGAAAUUUUGCGUAAAAUUCAUUGAAAACGUUACCUUCGCAAAGUGUCCAUACCAAUUGGGAAGUCAAAAGUAUUUGGUACGUACGUAGUACGCCCGGUCUCAUCAUCUUCUGGGGUUUCAUCGGUCAAUGCCAUUUCUUUUGCCCACGCUUCUAAUCCUCUUUCUUCCGAUGUACCUUUAGAAGAGAGAAGUUGACAUUAAAUAAAGAGUCAACAAAGCAUUAUUACAACUAUAGAGGUACAAUUUUGUAUCUCAAACAUAUCCUGUCCGAGCAAUAUGUGAAAAUGAAUGGAUUGCAUGUAGCGUUCAGUAAUAUUCAGAUUAUUUACAAAUUCAAGGGUAAUGUGUCUUAAAAUUAUUACCCACCUGGUAUAAUAUUGUCCAAGAGACAGCCUAACCCACCACCGACUAAAAUUGUCGUGCUUAGUAAAACGGUAAUGACACUGUCAAAAAUGUCACUGCCAGUUUUUAUUGCAUCGGAAUGAUGCGACAUCCAUCGCGAGAGAACCUGUCGAUUAUUUAGCAAUCAUCGAGUAAUUACCUCGAAGUCGAUUGUAUUGUUUUUUGUCGGCUUUGCGUACAAAGUUCAUAAGCACUUACCAAUGGAAAGAACAUUGAAAACCCAAGUAUGUAUAAAUUUCUUGCCGAAUUAAGAUUAAUAUACUGCAGAGCCGACAGUCCUGUACAUAAAUGAUAUUUAAAAAAAUAUAUUACCGAGGAAUCUCAGGCCCAUGAGUGACGUAAUAACUUUCAGAUAAGACUAUUUGUUUCUGAUAUUGGAAUAUGACUUGCUUCGUCUUUUACUCGUUAAACAAUCACUUACCAAACGCAGCUAUCAUACCGAACAUUAUACAGAAAAUUCCACCGACUACUGGUUCAGAAACAUCGCUCGAUCUCCUACCUAUGGCGCCAACGUUUUCACCAAAUGUAUUUGUGCCGUUCCCACUGCCCCAGAGCCCGGCUAAUACGGUACCAAGACCCUCGGUACCGAUACCUCGAUUUAUCGCGUGGAGCGGAGGCGGUGGUGCUCCUGAAACAAAACGAAGUAAAUCAAAAGCAUUAUUGAACGAUUACGAGCAACGUGGAGAGUUCCUAACUGCGUAAUUGAUUGGUCAAGAUUUAUUUUGUUCGCAAUGCUACGCGUUUCGCACCUUUCCAAUAAGUGGAAGACGGACAAGCUGUCAAUCUGCUCACCACACAUUCUAGAAGUCGUUGGAUAGUAACUGAUCGACUCAACUGUACAGGCCAAUACACCCGCCAACAUUCCUAGGACCCCCGCCAGACUCACUGUGGGUAGACCCCAUUGUCCGGGAUAAGGAAUCCUAAACCAGGACGAAUCUUGGAGAAUUUUUAUUUUCACAUCUGUGCGCGCCGGAUGCCCGGGCGGAAAUGUGUCGGUGGCUGUUAGAAUUCCACAUACAGCCCACAUUAUGGAUAUGGUCAAUAGAACCUGAAAGCGACGUAAGUCUGGCUCACGAAAAAAUCGACUACGGUAAAAAUGGCGAAGGUUCUUUUAGCUCAAAUCCUUCUCACCGGAAAAAGUUUGAACAAGUAGCACCAAACGAUUUGGAAACCACCAGUUUUCCGCCAAACUAUCAUAGGCACUUGUAAAUUCCCUAGGAGUUGGGAAUAUACGGUCAUCAUUAAGAUUGUUCUGGAAAAGAAAUGAUGAAAUUUAUUCACGCUCUGAUCAUUGUUAAACGAUGGUGAGUUCUCGUUCAGGACAAGUCGCCGAUACGGCGGUAUGACAAUUAAGUUUAUAUUACCCGGUGGCGAUGCCCCAGUGCUGAGAUGCUGCCGUUGCAGCGUUUUCAAAUAACGACAAUCCGACCAGAGAUACCGUAGGGACGAUUGUUAAAGGAGUAACAUACUUGAGCAUCGAUCCGAUGAUUCCUGUAAUUACAAAAAGUCUAUUCCCAUCUCUCAUCCAUUUCCGGCGAAAAGGGUAUUCGUUCAAACGCGUAUCAAAAUUUCGUUAGAGGAUCUGAAAUAGAAUAUCUAGAGGUGUCUAAUUUAUUUCUUCCAUUUUCCAUUCAAAUAACACGUACAAAAAAUUGGAAUAUUUUUUUUUACUUUUUUUUUCUCUCGUAAACGGUUUGAGUAAUAAACUAUCUAAAUACGGUUUCUUAUACGAAAUUUCGCGCUCUAUAAAAAAGUACGAAGAUAGAAUCUUCCCAACUCUAAACGAUACAGAGAUAUUUGCUUACAAACAUUAAAUCAUCUCGAGUAUCUCUUAAUCGGUUAGAGUUAGGAAAAUUCUAUCUCGGUAUUUCUUUUAUUUUUGUUGCGGGUUCGAAAAAAAAAAAACAUUUGUUUUUAGCACACCCUAGUAUUCACGGUACAGUAAAUCUCCGCGAAUAAGUACGUGACACGAUAGCUGAUCAGAAACACGAGGUAGAGCAAAACAUCGAUUUGUGAUCCACAAAGUCCGAAGAAUGACUUCAAUAUUCAAUAACAACCUUGAACAAAUUAUUUCCAGUGAGUUUUUCACACGAUCUCUCCUCUACACAUGGAUCAUUUGUAGCACGUAACGAGCGAUAAGCGUGUAUGCUGAAAAAAUUUGCGCCUUUGCAAGAA